AACGAACGCUGGCGGCAUGCCUAACACAUGCAAGUCGAACGAGACCUUCGGGUCUAGUGGCGCACGGGUGCGUAACGCGUGGGAACCUGCCCUUAGGUUCGGAAUAACUCCCCGAAAGGGGUGCUAAUACCGGAUAAUGUCUUCGGACCAAAGAUUUAUCGCCUUUGGAUGGGCCCGCGUUGGAUUAGCUAGUUGGUAGGGUAAAAGCCUACCAAGGCGACGAUCCAUAGCUGGUCUGAGAGGAUGAUCAGCCACACUGGGACUGAGACACGACCCAGACUCUUACGGGAGGCAGCAGUGGGGAAUAUUGGACAAUGGGCGAAAGCCUGAUCCAGCUAUGCCGCGUGAGUGAUGAAGGCCUUAGGGUUGUAAAGCUCUUUUACCCGGGAUGAUAAUGACAGUACCGGGAGAAUAAGCUCCGGCUAACUCCGUG
rnacentral:rRNA from 1 species